UGCUGAGGGAGCAGUUUGAGGAGGAGCAGGAGGCUAAGGCUGAGCUGCAGCGUGGAAUGUCCAAGGCCAACAGUGAGGUGGCUCAGUGGAGAUCUAAGUAUGAAACUGAUGCUAUCCAGCGUACUGAGGAGCUUGAGGAAGCCAAGUGAGUGCAUUUUAAACAAUUAAAUGGCCAGAAGUGAAGCAUAUAACAUAUACAUUAUUUGAGGAAGGUCCAGCAUGAGUUGGAGGAGGCUGAGGAGCGUGCUGACAUUGCAGAGUCCCAGGUCAACAAAAUGAGAGCAAAGAGCCACGACUCUGGCAAGGGAAAAGAAGCUGCUGAGUAAAGCACACUGACUGUUUCACUGUGUCAAAUCAUAUUAUAUGAUAUAAUUCAUGAUGAAACAAUAAAG